rnacentral:rRNA from 1 species
UUUUCGGAGAGUUUGAUCCUGGCUCAGAGUGAACGCUGGCGGCGUAGAUUAGGCAUGCAAGUCGAGCGAUACUUUUUUCUUGAGAUGGUGAAGCCGCAAGGCUGAUCUGUCAAGGGAAGAAAGAUAUAGCGGCAGACUGGUGAGUAACACGUGAGUAAUUUACCUCUAAGUCGGGGAUAGCCUUGUGAAAGCGAGGGUAAUACCCGAUGUGUUUACGGCUGCAUAAGCAGCUGUAAGUAAAGGAGGCUCGCAAGAGUUUCCGUUUAGAGAUGAGCUCGCGUCCUAUCAGCUAGUUGGUGGGGUAAUGGCCUACCAAGGCUUUUGACGGGUAGCUGGCCUGAGAGGGUGGUCAGCCACAUGGGGACUGAGACACUGCCCCAACUCCUACGGGAGGCUGCAGUCGAGGAUAUUUAGCAAUGGACGAAAGUCUGACUAUGUGACGCCGCGUGAGGGAUGAAGGUCUUCGGAUUGUAAACCUCUUUCGAUAGGGAAGAAAACCUAUUCUUAACGGAAUAGACUGACGGUACCUAGAGAAGAAGCCACGGCCAACUCUGUGCCAGCAGCCGCGGUAAUACAGAGGUGGCGAGCGUUACUCGGAUUUCUUGGGUGUAAAGGGCAAGUAGGCGUCUUAACAAGUUAGGAGUGAAAUCCUGCAGCUCAACUGCAGAACUGCUUUUAAAACUGUCGAGAUUGAGACUGGGAGAGGAGAGCGGAAUUCUCGGUGUAAGAGUGAAAUCUGUAGAUAUCGAGAGGAACACCAGUGGCGAAGGCGGCUCUCUGGUCCAGUACUGACGCUGAAUUGCGAAAGCUAGGGGAGCAAACAGGAUUAGAUACCCUGGUAGUCCUAGCCGUAAACGAUGAGCACUAGGUGUUAGGGGUUUACCCUUAGCGCCGCAAGCUAACGCGUUAAGUGCUCCACCUGGGGACUACGACCGCAAGGUUAAAACUCAAAGGAAUUGACGGGGGCCCGCACAAGCGGUGGAACACGUGGUUUAAUUCGAUGCUACGCGAGGAACCGUACCAGGGCUUGACAUGCUAGGAGUAUUUUGGUGGAAACGCCGAAAGACCGUAUCCAAUCGGAGCCUAGUACAGGUGCU